GACGAACGCUGGCGGCGUGCUUAACACAUGCAAGUCGAACGGAAAGGCUCCAGCUUGCUGGAGUACUCGAGUGGCGAACGGGUGAGUAACACGUGGGUAAUCUGCCCUGCACUCUGGGAUAAGCCUGGGAAACUGGGUCUAGUACUGGAUAUGACCUUUCUCCUUAUGGGGUUUGGUGGAAAGUUUUUCGGUGUAGGAUGAGCCCGCGGCCUAUCAGCUUGUUGGUGGGGUGAUGGCCUACCAAGGCGACGACGGGUAGCCGGCCUGAGAGGGUGAUCGGCCACAUUGGGACUGAGAUACGGCCCAGACUCCUACGGGAGGCAGCAGUGGGGAAUAUUGCACAAUGGGCGGAAGCCUGAUGCAGCGACGCCGCGUGAGGGAUGACGGCCUUCGGGUUGUAAACCUCUUUCAGCAGGGACGAAGCGUAAGUGACGGUACCUGCAGAAGAAGCACCGGCUAACUAUGUG
rnacentral:rRNA from 1 species